GACGAACGCUGGCGGCGUGCUUAACACAUGCAAGUCGAACGCUGAAGCUCAGCUUGCUGGGUGGAUGAGUGGCGAACGGGUGAGUAACACGUGAGUAACCUGCCCUCUUCUUUGGGAUAACGCCCGGAAACGGGUGCUAAUACUGGAUAUUCACUGAUUCUCGCAUGGGGGUUGGUGGAAAGGUUUUUUCUGGUGGGGGAUGGGCUCGCGGCCUAUCAGCUUGUUGGUGGGGUGAUGGCCUACCAAGGCUUUGACGUGUAGCCGGCCUGAGAGGGUGACCGGUCACAUUGGGACUGAGAUACGGCCCAGACUCCUACGGGAGGCAGCAGUGGGGAAUAUUGCACAAUGGGCGAAAGCCUGAUGCAGCGACGCCGCGUGAGGGAUGGAGGCCUUCGGGUUGUAAACCUCUUUCGCUCAUGGUCAAGCCGCAGCUUUGGGUUGUGGUGAGGGUAGUGGGUAAAGAAGCGCCGGCUAACUACGUG
rnacentral:rRNA from 1 species